GGCUGUGUGGCUCAGUGGUAAAGCGCUUGUCUAGUAUCCAUGAGGCACUUAGUUCAGUCCCUUAGCACUGCCA
rnacentral:tRNA from 1 species